CAGUAGCACGGUAAUACGUAGGGUGCAAGCGUUAAUCGGAAUUACUGGGCGUAAAGCGUGCGCAGGCGGUUAUAUAAGACAGAUGUGAAAUCCCCGGGCUCAACCUGGGAACUGCAUUUGUGACUGUAUAGCUAGAGUACGGCAGAGGGGGAUGGAAUUCCGCGUGUAGCAGUGAAAUGCGUAGAUAUGCGGAGGAACACCGAUGGCGAAGGCAAUCCCCUGGGCCUGUACUGACGCUCAUGCACGAAAGCGUGGGGAGCAAACAGGAUUAGAUACCCCCGUAGUCCCUGUCUCUUAUACA
rnacentral:rRNA from 1 species